rnacentral:rRNA from 1 species
GAUGAACGCUGGCGGCGUGCUUAACACAUGCAAGUCGAGCGAGAAGUUUUGAAAAGAUUCUUCGGAUGAAAUUUAAAAUGGAAAGCGGCGGACGGGUGAGUAACGCGUAGGCAACCUGCCCCAUACAAAGGGAUAGCAUUUGGAAACGAAUAUUAAUACCUUAUGAAACUUAACUAGUGCAUGCUAGGUAGGUCAAAGAUUUAUCGGUAUGGGAUGGGCCCGCGUCUGAUUAGCUAGUUGGUGAGGUAACGGCUCACCAAGGCGACGAUCAGUAGCCGACCUGAGAGGGUGAACGGCCACAUUGGAACUGAGACACGGUCCAAACUCCUACGGGAGGCAGCAGUGGGGAAUAUUGCACAAUGGGGGAAACCCUGAUGCAGCAACGCCGCGUGAACGAUGAAGGCCUUUGGGUCGUAAAGUUCUGUUCUAGGUGAUGAAAACUGACAGUAACCUAGGAGAAAGCCCCGGCUAACUCCGU